rnacentral:rRNA from 1 species
CGCGGUAUGUGACCGUGCGAAGGUAGCAUAAUCAUUAGUCUUUUAAUUGAAGGCUUGUAUGAAUGGUUGGACGAGAAGUAAUCUGUCUCUAUUAAAAAAAUUGAAUUUAACUUUUGAGUGAGAAGGCUCAAAUGACCUAGAGGGACGAUAAGACCCUAUAAAGUUUAACAUUAUAACAACAACAGGUUAAUUGGGUUAUAGAAUUUAUUAUUGUGAAUAGUGUUUUGUUGGGGCGACAAGAAUAUAAAUAGUUUAACUGUUCUUUUUUGUAUCAAAGAUAUUUGAAUUAAUGACUCUUUUAAGAGUAUUAGAGUAAAUUACUUUAGGGAUAACAGCGUAAUUUUUUUUGAGAGUUCUUAUCGACAAAAGAGUUUGCGACCUCGAUGUUGAAUUAAAGAUUCUUUAUAGUGUAGCAGUUAUAUAAGAAGGUCUGUUCGACCUUUAAUCUUUACAUGAUUUGA